GACGAACGCUGGCGGCGUGCUUAACACAUGCAAGUCGUACGGUAAGGCCCUUUCGGGGGUACACGAGUGGCGAACGGGUGAGUAACACGUGAGUAACCUGCCCACAACUUUGGGAUAACGCUAGGAAACUGGUGCUAAUACUGGAUAUGUGCUCCUGCUGCAUGGUGGGGGUUGGAAAGCUCCGGCGGUUGUGGAUGGACUCGCGGCCUAUCAGCUUGUUGGUGGGGUAGUGGCCUACCAAGGCGGCGACGGGUAGCCGGCCUGAGAGGGUGACCGGCCACAUUGGGACUAAGAUACGGCCCAGACUCCUACGGGAGGCAGCAGUGGGGAAUAUUGCACAAUGGGCGCAAGCCUGAUGCAGCAACGCCGCGUGCGGGAUGACGGCCUUCGGGUUGUAAACCGCUUUCAGCAGGGACGAAGCUUUUUGUGACGGUACCUGCAGAAGAAGCACCGGCUAACUACGUG
rnacentral:rRNA from 1 species